rnacentral:misc_RNA from 2 species
AACGCACAUUGCGCCCCUUGGUAUUCCGAGGGGCAUGCCUGUUCGAGCGUCAUUAUAACCCCUCAAGCUCAGCUUGGUAUUGGGGCCUGCCAUCCUGGCAGCCCUUAAAAUCAGUGGCGGUGCCAUCCGGCUCUAAGCGUAGUAACUCUUCUCGCUAUGGAGUCCUGGUGGAUGCUUGCCAUUAAUCUUUUAACUUCUAUGGUUGACCUCGGAUCAGGUAGGGAUACCCGCUGAACUUAA